rnacentral:rRNA from 1 species
GAUGAACGCUGGCGGCGUGCCUAAUACAUGCAAGUCGAGCGAACAGACGAGGCUCUUGCUCCUCUGACGUUAGCCGCGGACGGGUGAGUAACACGUGGAUAACCUCCCUAUAUGUCUGGGAUAACUUCGGGACACCGGAGCUAAUCCCGUAUAAUAUCUUGAACCGCAUGGUUCAAUAGUGAAAUACGGUUUUGCUGUCACUUCUCGAUGCAUCCGGGCCGCAUUAGAUAGUUGGUACGGUAACGGCUUACCAAGGCAACGAUGCGUAGCCGACCUGAGAGGGGGGUAGGCGACAUGAGAACGGAGACGCGGUCCAGACUACUGCGGGAGGCAGCAGUAGGGAAUGUGACGCAAUGGGCGGAAGCCUGACGGAGCAAGGCCGCGUGAGUGAUGAAGAUCUUCGGAUCGUAAAAAUCGGUUAUGAGUGAAGAACAAAUGUGUAAUUAACUAUGGACGUCUUGACGGUACCGAGUCAGAAAGCCACGGCUAACUACGUG